rnacentral:tRNA from 1 species
AUUUUUAUAGUUUAUAUAAAACAUUAUAUUUUCAUUAUAAAAUAUAUUAUAUAUA